rnacentral:rRNA from 1 species
UACGUAGGGACCAAGCGUUGUUCGGAUUUACUGGGCGUAAAGGGCGCGUAGGCGGCAAUUCAAGUCAGCUGUGAAAUCUCCCGGCUUAACUGGGAGGGUGCGCUAAAGACUGCCUGGCUCGAGUGUGGGAGAGGAAAGCGGAAUUCCUGGUGUAGCGGUGAAAUGCGUAGAUAUCAGGAGGAACACCUGCGGUGUAGACGGCUUUCUGGACCAUAACUGACGCUGAGAUACGAAAGCGUGGGUAGCAAACAGG